rnacentral:rRNA from 1 species
GACGAACGCUGGCGGCGUGCUCAACACAUGCAAGUCGAACGAUGAACCGGUUUCGGCCGGGGAUUAGUGGCGAACGGGUGAGUAACACGUGGGCAAUCUGCCCUGCACUCUGGGAUAAGCCCGGGAAACUGGGUCUAAUACCGGAUACGACACUCCGAGGCAUCUUGGGGUGUGGAAAGUUCCGGCGGUGCAGGAUGAGCCCGCGGCCUAUCGGCUUGUUGGUGGGGUAAUGGCCUACCAAGGCGACGACGGGUAGCCGGCCUGAGAGGGUGACCGGCCACACUGGGACUGAGACACGGCCCAGACUCCUACGGGAGGCAGCAGUGGGGAAUAUUGCACAAUGGGCGAAAGCCUGAUGCAGCGACGCCGCGUGAGGGAUGACGGCCUUCGGGUUGUAAACCUCUUUCAGCAGGGAAGAAGCGAAAGUGACGGUACCUGCAGAAGAAGCACCGGCUAACUACGUG